ACCGCUCAGGACGAACGCUGGCGGCGUGCUUAACACAUGCAAGUCGAGCGGUAAGGCCUUUCGGGGUACACGAGCGGCGAACGGGUGAGUAACACGUGGGUGAUCUGCCCUGCACUUCGGGAUAAGCCUGGGAAACUGGGUCUAAUACCGGAUAUGACCUCCUAUCGCAUGGUGGGUGGUGGAAAGAUUUAUCGGUGCAGGAUGGGCCCGCGGCCUAUCAGCUUGUUGGUGGGGUAAUGGCCUACCAAGGCGACGACGGGUAGCCGACCUGAGAGGGUGACCGGCCACACUGGGACUGAGACACGGCCCAGACUCCUACGGGAGGCAGCAGUGGGGAAUAUUGCACAAUGGGCGAAAGCCUGAUGCAGCGACGCCGCGUGAGGGAUGACGGCCUUCGGGUUGUAAACCUCUUUCAGCAGGGACGAAGCGCAAGUGACGGUACCUGCAGAAGAAGCACCGGCUAACUACGUGCCAGCAGCCGCGGUAAUACGUAGGGUGCAAGCGUUGUCCGGAAUUACUGGGCGUAAAGAGUUCGUAGGCGGUUUGUCGCGUCGUUUGUGAAAACCAGCAGCUCAACUGCUGGCUUGCAGGCGAUACGGGCAGACUUGAGUACUGCAGGGGAGACUGGAAUUCCUGGUGUAGCGGUGAAAUGCGCAGAUAUCAGGAGGAAACANCCGGUGGCGAAGGCGGGUCUACUGGG
rnacentral:rRNA from 1 species